rnacentral:rRNA from 1 species
UCCCUACGGGGGGCAGCAGUGGGGAAUAUUGGGCAAUGGGCGCAAGCCUGACCCAGCGACGCCGCGUGAGGGAAGACGGUCUUCGGAUUGUAAACCUCUUUCAGCAGGGAAGACAAAAGGACGGUACCUGCAGAAGAAGCCACGGCUAACUACGUGCCAGCAGCCGCGGUAAUACGGAGGGUGCGAGCGUUAAUCGGAAUUACUGAGCGUAAAGCGCUCGUAGGCGGUAUGUCAAGUCAAGGGUGAAAUCCCCGCGCUCAACGUGGGAACUGCCUUUGAAACUGGCAAACUGGAGUGUGUGAGAG